CACACUUAGCGUUUCCCCGACGGCUUACGAAGACUGGUGGGAAGAGGCGUUGAGGCUGCUCUGACGUCCCCGGGGGCUGGGUGAGCCGCUUCGCGCGCAGUGACUUCCCAGCGGCAAGGACGAGAAAACUGAGCAAUCUCGGGGAGCAGCGGAGAGGACACAGGGACAGAGACCCACCCAGAGGUGAGAGGGAGGCAGCCUGUAAUGGGUCUGUGCCUGCUAAACAUCCCGGUCAAGGUCUCCCUGGUUAACCUGAGGUAACCCCACCCCCCAGACUUCUUGUCUUCUCACCCCACUGAGCCGCAGCGGACUUUUUGAUCUUUGCACUUACAAGAAUGCAGAAAGGUAUGUGCUUGUUUUAACUUGUAUCUCUCAGAUUAAAAGACGGAUCAAG